AAAAUUUAUUUUUUACUGUUUCAGAACAAUCUUCCAGCUGAGAGAACUGGAAAAACUAGACAAUUUUUGUUUUUUAACUGUUUGAAGGCAUCAGAGAGCUACAAAGAAAGUGAAAAUGUGGGGGAAAGAUCUGAAAUAAAUCAAACCCACAGAGGUGAUCUAACUCAACCCUUGCUGCCAGUAACAAAAAUAAAAUCUCUCUGGGGAAAGAUAACACCCUACUGAGCCUCAAAUCAUAACUAAAAUCCUACUGAGCCUCAAAUCAUAACUAAAAUUUUUAUUUACAAUGUUUGGCAGUCAAUCAGAUAAAAAGAAGAAAUGUAAAAGGGCAAAAGUUGAUUAAAAUAAGAGAGAGACCCAUAGAUACCUAGAUGUUGAUGUUAUCUGACAGGUGCUUCAAGCCAUGUAUUCAAGAAGCUCUACAAAGCUCUAACAAAAGAGUACAAAGAAAACCAUCCCUAGACACAUAGUCCCACUGCAAAAGCUAAAAACAAAGAAAAAUCUUAUAAGCAACCAGAGAAUAAACGACAUACUACCUUCACAAGAGCAAAAAUUAGACCAACAGCUGACCUCCCAACAAAAACAAUGGAAACAAGAAGAAAAUAGAAUGACGUGUGAUAUUAUGAGAUAUAUAUAAAUAGAUUUUAUAAUAUCUAUAUAUAUGGGCUUUUGUCCAUAGUUCCUGGCUUAUAACUCCCAUAUCCCUUGUUACAGUCUUUAGUUAUAAUGUUGGGGCACUUAAAACCUCAGAUAACAGGCCUCAGAAAACAGAAUCUCUCUUACCUCCUGCCUCCUUUCAUCUGCUCCUCCUCUUCCAAAGUCAGAAAUCUUCCCUGCCUUUCUGUCUUAGAGCUGGCCAUAAAGAAAUUCUCUGACUUAUGUGAUUGUAGGUCAUAAGACACCCAUUUCAGAAGAGGUCCUGCCCCAUUCCCUGGAGGAAAGAAUGUAGCAGAGAGAGGACAAAAAGAAUCUGAACAGAUAGACCUUGCUGGGUUUUCCCACUCAGCCUAUUAGUAUUAGAUCAUACAUUUUGUGUCUAAUCACAUUUCUACACAGCUGUCGAUUUUGCCUAUCCAGUGAAGCCUCCAUAAAAGACACAAGAAGACUGGGUUUCAAGAGCUUCUGGAUAGCUGAACACAUUGGAGGCUCCUGGAGGCUGGUGGUCAGGAAGGGCAUGGACACCCUGAACCUCUUCCCCUAUACCUUGCCCUGUGAAUUUCUUCACCUACAUCCUUUGUAAUACCCUUUGUAAUAAACCAGUAAAUAACACUCUCAGCUAUGUAUAGUUACACCUGGCUUCACUUGUGUGACUUUUGCAAUGGGAAGAGAGAGAGAAGGUCCCCUUGGUACCUCAGCUCGGCCUUAUGGUGGCCUCUUUCCUUGAAGGGUGCAACAAAAGCAGGAGGAAAAAAAAAAAGCAAGGAAAUAAACUUAUAUAUUCAGUUUCCCUGAAUUCUGCGAGCCACUCUAGCAAAUUAAUCAAACCCAAAGAGAGGGUGUGGAAACUCCACAUUGAAGCUGGCAGGUCAGAAGUUCCACAGGCCCAGACUUGUGACUGAUGAGGAUCAGGGGCGGUCUUGGGCACUGAGCCCUCAACCUGUGUUUUUUUUUUCUUUUUGAGACAGAGUUUCACUCUUGUCGCCCAGGCUGGGGUGCCAUGGUGCAUCUCGGCUCACGGCAACCUCCGCCUCCCAUGUUCAGGCAAUUCUCCCGCCUCAGCCUCCUAAGUAGCUGGGACUACAGCCGCCUGCCACCGUGCCCAGCUAAUUUUUGUAUUUUUAGUAGAGAUGGGGUUUCACCACAUUGGCCAGGCUGGUCUUGAACCCUUGACCUCAGGUGAUCCACCUGCCUCAGCCUCCCAAAGUCUUGGGAUUACAGGUGUGAGCCACCGCACCUGGCUUCAACCUGUGGUCUUAUGUGCAGGAAAAUAGUGUGAGAAUUGACUUGAAUUGGAGGACACCUAGGUGGUUUGUGCUGCAGAAUUGAUGGCUUGCUUGCUUGCUGGUGAGGAGAAAUCCCCACACAUUUUGUCACAGAAAUCUUCUGUCUGUGAUUAUUGUUGUUGAGAGGAUAGCUCACUUUCUCAAAAAUACUUUGAAUUUCUUUCCCCACUCUCCUGACAUACUUUGGCAGAUUUUUUUUAGAAAAUAUAUUAGAAAAAUUUUUGGAGAUUCGGAGCAAAUUGAAAAACUCACAGAUGAACUGCAUCACCUAGAAAAGCAAAAAACUUUUAAAAAGGUAUGUCAUGAAUGCAUAAAAUAUAUGUAGACAUAGUCUAUUUUAUUAUUUACCAUCCUAAAAUAUACACAUCUUUUAUAAAAAGUUAAAAUUUACCAAAACUUUCCCUCACACAUUUACAGACCAUACAUGACACCACUUGCUGUUGACAGAAAUGUAAACAAAAAUAAAGAUGCCGUAUUCAAUCAUAAUUGCAUAAAAUUCACUGUAGUACAUAUCUUACUACUGUAACAAUUUCGUAGCCACCUGCUGUGGCUAUUGCAGUAAGCUCAAGUGUUGUGAGUAUCCACUUAAAAUGUUGUGUCAUGCUCACACCUGUAAUCCCAGCACUCUGGGAGGCUGAGGUGGGUAGAGGCCAACAAGGGGAAAUCCCAUCUCUAGCAAAAAAUGCAAAAAUUAGCCGGGCAUGGUGACGCACUCCUGGAAUCCCAGCUACUUGGGAGGCGGAGGCAUGAGAAUCACCUGAAACUGGGAGGCGGAGGUUGCAGUGAGCCGAGACUGUACCACUACACUCCAGCCUGGGCGACAGUAAAACUCUGGCUCAAAAAAAAAAAAAAAAAGUCAUGUCACGCUAAUCACUACCGUGUGAGCAGUUGUCUCUCCAGUAAAUUGCGUAUUGCAGUAAAAAGUGAUCCCUCACGGUUCUCACUUGUUUUUCACCAUGUCUACUGCAAUACCCUAAACCUUGAAUAAGAAACAUGGGAAUCAUAUGAAGUGCCCCAAGUGGUGCUGGAAGAGCGCUCAAAAAGCAGAGAAAAGUUAUGACAUUAAAAGGAAAAGUUGAAAAUCUGGAUAUAUACCAUAGAUUGAGGUCUGAAGCUGUAUUUCAGGCAGACUAUUCGUCUUAUAAACAGAUGACAUAACCUUACAGUAUCAAUCAAUACAGUACAGUACUUAUGUCAUCUAUUUUCUCUUCCUUAUGAUUUUCUCAAUACCAUUUUCUUUUCUCUAGCUUACUUUAUUGUACGAAUACAGCAUAUAAUACAAAUAACAUACAAAUUAUGUGUUAAUUUUCUUUUUGUUAUCAGUAAGACUUCUGGCCAAUGGUAGGCUAUUAGUGGUUAAAUUUUUAAGGCAGUGAGCGAGGUACGGUGGCUCACGCCUGUAAUCCCAGCACUUUGGGAGGCCGAGGUGGGCGGAUCACAAGGUCAGAAGUUCGAGAUCAGUCUGGCCAACAUGGUGAAACCUCGUCUCUACUAAAAAUGCAAAAAUUAGCUGGGCAUGGUGGUGCCUGCCUGUAGUCUCAGCUACUCAGGAGGCUGAGGCAGGAGAAUUGCUUGAACCCGGGAGGAGGAGGUUGCAGUGAGCCGAGAUCACACCACUGUACUCUAGCCUGGGCGACAGAGCGAGACUCCAUCUCAAAAAAAAAAAAAAAAAAAAAAUUAAGGGAGUCAAAAGGUACACACAGAUUUUCAACUGUGUAGGGGUCAGUGCUCCUAAUGCCCUCCUUGUUCAAGAAUCAACUGUACUAAAAGAAAAUGAAUGCCAACCUUGAAAUUCUGUACACACAGAAAAUAUCACUUAAAAGUAAAACUAAAUAAAUCUUUUCAGAAACCAAAAAGGAAAGAAUCUGUAUUUAGAAUCUGUACUGAGAAAAUACUAAAGUAAGUUCUUCAGACAGAAGAAAAAUGAUCACAGACCCCAAAAUUAAAGUUUUGCUAGAUUUUAAUUCUAAUGAACCUCUAGAGAUUAAAGAAAAAAAAUUAGUACAGAAAGGAUAAAUAUGCAAAAAGUAAUAAUAGUCAUGUCUCGAGGAUCUUAAAUGUGUUGAGCUAAAAAUUCAAAAACAAAAGUCAUUGGGGUACAGUGGCUCAUGCCUGUAAUCCCAGCACUUUGGGAGGCCAACGCGGGCAGAUCAUGAGGCCAGGGGUUUGAGACCAGCCUGGCCAACAUGGUGAAAUCCCGUCUUUACUAAAAAUACAAAAAUUAGCCAGGUGUGGGUCGGGCACGGUGGCUCACACCUGUUAUCCCAGCAAUUUGGGAGGCUGAGGCGGGCAGAUCACAAUGUCAGGAGAUCGAGACCAUCCUGGCUAACACGAUGAAACCCCGUCUCUACUAAAAAAAAUACAACAACAACAACAACAAAAUUAGCCGGGUGUGGUGGCACGUGCCUGUAGUCCCAGCUACUCAGGAGGCUGAGGCAGGAGAAUCACUUGAACCCUGGAGGUGGAGGCUGCAGUGAGCCUAGACUGUGUCAUUGCACUCCAGCCUAGGCUACAGUGCAAGACUCUGUCUCAAAAACAAAACAAAACAAAACAAAACAAAAAAACCCAUAUAUCACAGGGGGAAGCAAGUGGGGAAGGUGGUAAAUACAGUUGUAAAAAGUUUUAUGUUUUUAUAUUGUCCAAAAAGUAGAAGUGGUAAAUGUACUAAUUUACAUUAAGCUUUACUCAGCUAAGGAUGUAUGCUGCAGGCCAGGUGCGGUGGCUCAUGCCUGUAAUCCCAGCUCUUUGGGAGGCUGAGGCAGGUGGAUCACGAGGUCAGGAGACCAGCCUGGCCAACAUAGUGAAACCUCAUCUCUACUAAAAAUACAGAAUUAGCCAGGCGUGGUGGUGGGCGCCUGUAAUCCCUGCUACUUGGGAGGCUGAGGCAGGAGAAUCGCUCGAACCCGGGAGGCAGACGUUGCAGCGAGCCGAGAUCACGCCACUGCACUCCAGCCCGGGGUGACAGUGCGAGACUCCAAAAAAAAAAAAAAAAAAGAUGUAUGCUGCAACUAUGGAAUAACAAAAAGAAUAGUAAAAGAAUGUAUAACCAGGGGGGAGGGGUGAGGGGGUGAGAAGAAAAAAGACUUAAUCUAAAAGAAAGAAAGGACAUAAAAAUAAACAGUCAAAUGGAAAAAUGUGGUAGAUUUAAACAAAAUAUCAGUAAUUUGUAAUUAAAUAUAUAAAGACCAAGUAAAAGCAAACUAUCAUUAAAAAUACAAUUGUCAGACAGGUAAAUGCUCUAUUCUGAUUUUGCAACUUCAUAUCCUGCCAUUCUGUCGAUUGCUCACCAGUUCUAAGCAUACUUAGUCUACUCGGUUCAGUGAUUUUCCAUCUCAGGGCCCUUGCAAAUAAAGUUCCCUCUGCCUGAGAUGCUCUUUCUUCUACUCUUCUCAUAGCUCUUUAGAUAAAUCAGAAAAAUCUCCAACCACUUUAUCCAGUGAAAGUCACCCCUAUUGUUUUCUCAUCCUUAGCCCUCUGUUUCCUUCAUAGCACUUUUCACAUUUUUUAUUUUACUAACUGCAACCUCUACCUCCUGGGUUCAUGCCAUUCUCCUGCCUCAGCCUCCUGAGUAGCUGGGACCACAG
rnacentral:lncRNA from 10 species